ensembl:misc_RNA Y_RNA Y RNA
GGCUGGUCCAAUGGCAGUGGGUUAUCAGAACUUAUUAACAUUAGUGUCAUAAAGUUGGUGUACCACCGCCCUCCCCCCACUGCUAAAUUUGACUGGCUUUAA